UCUCCCUAAUUGAGCCACGUAGCUGUCACAACAUUGGAGAACUGUCUGUUUAUAUUUCUUAUAUAUCAAACUGAAACUUAGUAGUAAACCUAGUAUACUGCUACAUAAUCUUUUUAUUUUGUGUAGCAAGAAUGGAUUUUGGUGAAUUAUCUAUUUUGAUCAACAGUCUACUGCAGAGGAUUGACACCAGACAGAAGAGACACCAGCACAGCUCCUGGAACCCCUUUUCCUUGAAUCACUUGAUCAAGAUUUCCCUAAUCAGGGAAUGGCGAGCCACUCAAUUGCAUACAGAAGAUUUGAACAUGUCCCUCAGGAUAUCCGCCUAUGCGGCAGGACUGACACAACUUGUGGGUCAUGGAAGGAAACCGAGAUGAGAUUAACAUGGAAUUAAGGAUUGAAGAAAUUGUUGAAAUUGGGAGCACUGAUCUGUCAUCAGGACACACAAGUGGUAGUGAAUAUGUUUCAUCCAGUGGGAGUUCUGACUCUGAUGCCAUCUAUAUGGACUCUGACAGCACUUGUGAAGCAAAAGACUAAGAAAAAGCCCAAAAGUCCAUAAAUGAAGAUGGUAGGUCAGACAAUGUAAAAGUGAAUGUUAAAAAGUGCACAAAAAAAGAAGGAGGGAAGAGAGAGUGAGAUAAGAAAAACUUUUUUUGUAUACUGUGGUACAGAGAAAAGCAAACUGGGAAGACAUCUCGAGAGAAAAUAUGCAAAAGAAACUGAAGUAGAACAAGCAUUAUCAAAAACUAAGGGGACAAAGGCAUGACAGAUUACUUGGACAACUACGAAAUAAAGGGAAUUUCCACUAUAGUACCGAAAUCAAGACUAUCUGCUAUGAUAGUAUUGCGAUGGGUUUUUUAAAAGAAAGGAAUUGUGAAAAGCAUAACCUAGUCUUUUCUGCAUUUUUGAAAAAGACAACAUUUCAAGGAAACCGAAGAGAGUCCAAGCUGUAGCACCUCGAAGUACACCAUGUAAACCUGCCGUGUCUGAAGGGUGUAAAUGCAUCAUUCUGAGCAUGCAUCAAGAUGACCUCUCUAAUCAGGUGAAGUCAGACACUCUCAUCUAUAAAUAUGAAGAAAUGAUGUUUGAGCUCCAUGGACAGGACAAAUCGCAGCACAAUUACAUCAGUCAGAAAAUGCGGGAGUUGGGGAGGUUUAUGCUGGCAGUAAAGAAGCUUAACCCUGCUGUACAACGUCUAGUGGAUGUUUUGUGUGCCAACAAGAUUUCAGCUAGCAGUAUCGGCAGCAAUGGAAGCAAGUGGGUUUGAUCCAUAAAAAACAGAUGAGACACCCCAUCUUUAGCUUGUAAAAUUGGGGACACCCUCAAGAAAGUCUGUGAAAUUGUGAUAGGCGAGAGUCUGAUCAAGGAAGACCGUGAGGCAGGACAGAAGGCCAAGAAUUUCAUCAGGUUGCUUCACUCUGACUGGAACACAUUUGUUUCAAAACGAGCUAGUACCAACCUUGAACAAAACAAAUGGAACAAAGCUGAUGUUCUUCCACCGACUGAAGAUGAUGUCAGGUUGCACAAACACCUCAAAAUUUUGGAAGAUCAGUCAAAAGAACAAUUAACCAAGAGCUCAGAUCCUGUGGCAUGGAGAAAUCUUUCAGAAAGUGUUCUAGCGCAAAUAAUAUUGUUUAACAGGAGACGAGAAGGUGAAGCUGGAAAGCUGUUCGUAGAAACAUACCAGAAAUGAAACACAGCUCCACUGAAUCCUGAGGUCUUGCAGAGUUUAUCCAAGCUGGAACAAGAUUUUGCCACCAUUGCCCCAAAUAUACACAAAUCUGAUACGUCCAUGAAUCAAUGAAACACUAUUGGUGUUUCUAUAACACCUCAGUACAAGCAGAAAACACAAAUUUUUACCCUCUCCAAGUUACUGAAGGUGCCAGAAUCCCAUUCAGAUACUGAUAUUUAGAGCAGUAAAUGAUGUACUGUAGUUACUGUUGCAGCCCAACUAUGUAUUAUUCGAAUUCCUUAUAAAGUCCUUUUCUACUA